CAAAGGCUGUAUGAUGAAAAAAGAGUGAUCCAUCGUCUGAGAUGCAUUGCUGACACUUAAAUUGUCUGACAGCAUUUU